rnacentral:rRNA from 1 species
GAUGAACGCUGGCGGCGUGCCUAAUACAUGCAAGUCGAGCGAACAGACGAGGAGCUUGCUCCUCUGACGUUAGCGGCGGACGGGUGAGUAACACGUGGAUAACCUACCUAUAAGACUGGGAUAACUUCGGGAAACCGGAGCUAAUACCGGAUAACAUAUUGAACCGCAUGGUUCAAUAGUGAAAGACGGUUUUGCUGUCACUUAUAGAUGGAUCCGCGCCGCAUUAGCUAGUUGGUAAGGUAACGGCUUACCAAGGCAACGAUGCGUAGCCGACCUGAGAGGGUGAUCGGCCACACUGGAACUGAGACACGGUCCAGACUCCUACGGGAGGCAGCAGUAGGGAAUCUUCCGCAAUGGGCGAAAGCCUGACGGAGCAACGCCGCGUGAGUGAUGAAGGUCUUCGGAUCGUAAAACUCUGUUAUUAGGGAAGAACAAAUGUGUAGGUAACUAUGCACGUCUUGACGGUACCUAAUCAGAAAGCCACGGCUAACUACGUG